rnacentral:rRNA from 1 species
CAGCCGCCGCGGGAAAACGUAGGGUGCAAGCGUUAAUCGGAAUUACUGGGCGUAAAGCGUGCGCAGGCGGUUUUGUAAGACAGAGGUGAAAUCCCCGGGCUCAACCUGGGAACUGCCUUUGUGACUGCAAGGCUAGAGUACGGCAGAGGGGGAUGGAAUUCCGCGUGUAGCAGUGAAAUGCGUAGAUAUGCGGAGGAACACCGAUGGCGAAGGCAAUCCCCUGGGCCUGUACUGACGCUCAUGCACGAAAGCGUGGGGAGCAAACAGGAUUAGAUACCCCGGUAGUCCCUGUCUCUUAUAC